AAGCGGCGGACGGGUGAGUAACGCGUGGGUAACCUACCCUGUACACACGGAUAACAUACCGAAAGGUAUGCUAAUACGGGAUAAUAUAUUUGAGGGGCAUCUCUUAAAUAUCAAAGGUGAGCCAGUACAGGAUGGACCCGCGUCUGAUUAGCUAGUUGGUAAGGUAACGGCUUACCAAGGCGACGAUCAGUAGCCGACCUGAGAGGGUGAUCGGCCACAUUGGAACUGAGACACGGUCCAA
rnacentral:rRNA from 1 species